ACUGAGUCUACUACUACCCCAAGUACCACCACUGAGUCUACUCCUACCCCAAGUACCACCACUGAUAUUCCUGACUUACCAUCACCAUCUACCUGUCCUUACGCAUCAGUGCAAACUAACUGUAGUGUAAAAUGUCGCCAGCAUGUGUGCCCAGAAAUUAGCAAUGAGUGUCAACCAAACAAUUUUACGGACCCCGAAGGAGAAGAAUUUUGCUGUGAAUGCUCUCAAGAAACUCAGUUUAAUGGUAGCCAUUGCGUACUGAAGUGUGACUGUAUACAGAACAAUUGCUAUACAACAACCAUUGCAACAACAACAGCAAGCACAACAAAAUCAG